rnacentral:rRNA from 1 species
CGCUGGCGACGUGCCUAACACAUGCAAGUCAACUUGACUGAAGGAGCAAUCUGACAGUAGAGUGGCGCAAGGGUGCGUAACGCGUAAGUAACUUGCCCAAGGUAAGGAAUAACGUCGAGAAAUCGGCGCUAAUACCUCAUAAUGCAGCGGAUCCGCAUGGAUAUGUUGUUAAAGGUUUACCGCCUUGGGAUAGGCUUGCGUCUGAUUAGCUAGUUGGUGUGGUAACGGCACACCAAGGCUACGAUCAGUAACUGGUCUGAGAGGAUGAUCAGUCACACUGGAACUGAGACACGGUCCAGACUCCUACGGGAGGCAGCAGUGAGGAAUAUUGGGCAAUGCUCGAAAGAGUGACCCAGCAACGCCGCGUGGAGGAUGAAGGUAUUCUAUAUCGUAAACUCCUGUGAGAGCAGACGAAAGACAGAUUAUUAAUCUGGAUGACUGUAUGCUCAGAGGAAGCCCCGGCUAGCUACGUG